UACAGAGGUCUCAAGCGUUGUUCGGAUUCAUUGGGCGUAAAGGGUGUGUAGGUGGCGCGCUAAGUCGGAUGUGAAAUCCCCAGGCUUAACUUGGGAACUGCAUCCGAUACUGGAUGGCUUGAAUCCGGGAGAGGGAUGCGGAAUUCCAGGUGUAGCGGUGAAAUGCGGCAGAUAUCAGGAGGAACACCGAUGGCGAAGGCAGGUCUCUGGGCCACUACUGACGCUGAGAAGCGAAAGCAUGGGGAGCGAACAGG
rnacentral:rRNA from 1 species